CUGCCUUCAGCCGCGGGAAAUACAUAGGGUGCGUACCGUUCUCCGGGAUUACUGCGUGUAAAGGGCUCCGUACGAGGUUUGUCGCGUCGUCUGUGAAUUCCGGGGCUUAACUCCGGGCGUGCAGGCGAUACGGGCAUAACUUGAGUACUGUAGGGGUAACUGGAAUUCCUGGUGUAGCGGUGAAAUGCGCAGAUAUCAGGAGGAACACCGAUGGCGAAGGCAGGUUACUGGGCAGUUACUGACGCUGAGGAGCGAAAGCAUGGGUAGCGAACAGGAUUAGAUACCCUGGUAGUCC
rnacentral:rRNA from 1 species